GACAGAGGUCCCAAGCGUUAGGCGGAAUUACUGGGCGUAAAGCGCACGUAGGCGGUGGUGCAUGUCAGAUGUGAAAGCCCUGGGCUUAACCUAGGAAUUGCAUUUGAAACUGCGCCGCUAGAGACCGGAAGAGGGUAGUGGAAUUCCCAGUGUAGAGGUGAAAUUCGUAGAUAUCGGGAGGAACACCAGUGGCGAAGGCGGCGAUCUGGGAAGAUACUGACGCUGAGGUGCGAAAGCGUGGGGAGCAAACAGG
rnacentral:rRNA from 1 species